rnacentral:rRNA from 1 species
GCACAAGCGGUGGAUGAUGUGGAUUAAUUCGAUGCAACGCGAAAACCUUACCCACCUUUGACAUGUACGGAAUCCUUUAGAGAUAGAGGAGUGCUCGAAAGAGAGCCGUAACACAGGUGCUGCAUGGCUGUCGUCAGCUCGUGUCGUGAGAUGUUGGGUUAAGUCCCGCAACGAGCGCAACCCUUGUCAUUAGUUGCUACAUUCAGUUGGGCACUCUAAUGAGACUGCCGGUGACAAACCGGAGGAAGGUGGGGAUGACGUCAAGUCCUCAUGGCCCUUAUAGGUGGGGCUACACACGUCAUACAAUGGAUGGUACAAAGGGUCGCCAACCCGCGAGGGGGAGCCAAUCCCAUAAAGCCAUUCGUAGUCCGGAUCGCAGUCUGCAACUCGACUGCGUGAAGUCAAAAUCACUAAUAAUCGUGGAUCAGAAUGUCACGGUGAAUACGUUCCCGGGUCUU